UAAGAAAAACACCAAAUUUUUAAAGUUGAGAUAUUAGCGGGAAAUGCUAGAAAGGUUAGUGCAGUUCGGUUUGAGCGUGUAUACGGUGCCGAUGUGGCAUUGGAGUCAAAAGACAUAGCGAACUUGGUUCCCAAAAUCAUGAAAAGGCAAUGGAAUAGCGAUCAAGACUUUGACAAGACAGAGUACCAUGAAGUUCCAUACCAGAACAGAGAUGACGGCGACUCUUCUGUUGGCUUUGCAAUCAGUGAACAUGAUCAUGAACAUCCCAGUGAACAGUAGUUACAUUGUUCACAUGUCAUUCCUUUCAUACAGCACCAAAAAAGAAGGUAGAGUGAGACAGUAAAACAUCAUUAAGGC